rnacentral:rRNA from 1 species
UACGGAGGGAGCUAGCGUUGUUCGGAAUUACUGGGCGUAAGGCGCACGUAGGCGGUUAUUCAAGUCAGAGGUGAAAGCCCGGGGCUCAACCCCGGACUGCCUUUGAAACUAGAUAACUAGAAUCUUGGAGAGGUCAGUGGAAUUCCGAGUGUAGAGGUGAAAUUCGUAGAUAUUCGGAAGAACACCAGUGGCGAAGGCGACUGACUGGACAAGUAUUGACGCUGAGGUGCGAAAGCGUGGGGAGCAAACAGGAUUAGAAACCCUGGUAGU